UUUCUGAUGGGGAGACACCAAAAAAGCUUCAGCACCUAAGACCUUAGAGACUAACGAAGGACCCCUGCUUCUUCAUCUUCAACCUUCAGCCAUCUCCACUGAUUUGCUUCAACCAAAAACACCCAAAACUGAAGAACCCCUCCAUAGCCGCCGCUGAUUCUGGACCUCACACCAAACGACCACCCCAUCUCCACCUCUUUCCGCCGCUAAUCCCAUUUUCUUCACCAAAUUAGCGAAAACAGACCCUUCUUCAUCGUCAACCAGAACACACCCAUCAGCAACCACCAACGAGUCCAGCCGCCCAAGCCACCUUAACUAACACCUUCAGUCAUCUUCUCCAAGCCGCCAGAAAACCAGCGAACUCGGAUCCUCCGUAAACCACCAAGGUUGAGUUUCUUCGGCGAGCUUAAAGGUUGUGAGUGGUCGCUGUUUGGAGCUCCGUUUCAGUUUCAUCCGAGGUUUAGUCGCGGUUCGAACACAUUCAACCAAAUUUGUCACGAGAUUUCUUCAAAAUCUCAAGAACACCCCAAAAGUUGGCUUUCAAGAUUUGAUCUACAAGAGGUGGUUCCGUAAUUGGUGGCUUAGGUUCUUGAUAGGUGUACCCUCUUCUCAGCUGAUUUGGUGAGCCUUAUUCUACUUCAGGGCCUUAUGUCCUUUUAUUUUGCAAAUUGUGUUUUGAGAAAUAGCCAGGGCCUAGUUGUCGGCAUUCCCAUAUUGUACCAUUUUCACUUAGAGGUUCCGUAGACGUAUUCUGGGUUGUGUUUUGACUUGAGAUCACAAACUAAUGAUUUUGUUGUAUUUGUCGAAUGUUCCACUUCAAUACCAUAAAUGUGUAAUAUUUUGGUAAUCAGAAAAUGAAGCUCUUAUAAAAACGAAAGUUGGUGUUGUACAUA